UAUAGCUCAGCUGGUAGAGCAAGAGACUGUUAAUCUCGGAGUCAGAGGUUCAAGCCCCACUUUGGGCAAAA